GCUGCGGCCACAAUGGUCCGUUAGCGUCGACUUCACCGUCAGCUUUAACUGACAGCUAAGUUUAAAGUAAUGAUAUUCAAUGCAGCACCCCACAAUGAUGCGUUGCGUCUAACGCACGCAUGUACUAAAAACGCUGACGCUGUGCUAAACUUUGAAAAUCUUCAAAGUUGACGCAGCAGCCAACGCGUGACGGAAGAUUCAAAACAAAAAAAAUGGCAAAACUUCGGAUUCCGCUAGAAAUGCAGUCAACAUCACACAAAAGUUCAACUCCGAGGAAAAAUUGAUCACAACUUGAUGUAGGUAAACAAGACUACGAUGAGAAUGACGCAAUUCAACAAUAAUAACAACGUACGACGCAACGCAGUAUUGUGCGCAUGUGUUGCAUUAACGCAUCCGUCAACGUUUUUAGUACAUUGACGGAUGCGUUAACGCUGAAGUCGAAGUCGAAGUUGACGGACCAUGGUCUUAUCCACUGGUGUACUAAACUAACUCGGUCGUAGAAUUUUGACACUACACUCAGAAAUAAUAGAAAUCAUAAGCGGUUUAAAACUCAUACAUUUUUGUCAUACUUAAAGAAUACACUAGGCUCAGUUUAAGUGGUAUACAUUUUUGGUAUAAUAAACUAAACUAAGCUGGACUUCCACAAAACUAUUUUUAUCAGUGUAUUUUAGCGACCGCAGAUGUUCACAAAAACAAAAAUGUCGGUGAAGACGGCUUGACUCGCGAAAUUCGUUUCAUUAAUUUGUCUACUAUUCGAUUAACUAUCAUUAGAAAAUUCUCAAAAGUGGACUGCUUUUCAUUAGAAAUUGCGAAUCAAUCGAAUGGCGAAUGGCUAGGAACUGUUUAGUAGAAAAGCUCGAAAACACCGAGUGUCUGCACGUGCAAAACGGAAACAGCGUCAUGAAGUACUACUUCAAUGCAGAAAACACGGUCCAGAAAGCAGAAACAUGAGAAGAAUCCAUCAUUUCGGAUCUGGAUGCUAUUGAAUAUUUGCAGGAUAAUUAAAUACGAGCGGCUCGGAAGUUUUGUGAACGGCAGACUACGCAGAAUCAAAAUUUUAGUUAUCUGAAAUAAGGCAUGGGUCUUAAUGUUAAGUGCAAACUACUGAUUUCAUUUCCAUGUGUUUUAAAGAUAAUAAAAUAAAAACGGGGAGUUUGAUUUUUUUCAA